CCUACGGGCGGCAGCAGUGGGGAAUAUUGGACAAUGGGGGCAACCCUGAUCCAGCCAUGCCGCGUGUGUGAAGAAGGCCCUCGGGUUGUAAAGCACUUUCAGGGAGGAAGAACGCCUGGUGGUUAAUACCCAUCAGGAAAGACAUCACUCACAGAAGAAGCACCGGCUAACUCCGUGCCAGCAGCCGCGGUAAUACGGAGGGUGCGAGCGUUAAUCGGAAUUACUGGGCGUAAAGCGCGCGUAGGUGGCUUGAUAAGCCGGUUGUGAAAGCCCCGGGCUCAACCUGGGAACGGCAUCCGGAACUGUCAAGCUAGAGUGCAGGAGAGGAAGGUAGAAUUCCCGGUGUAGCGGUGAAAUGCGUAGAGAUCGGGAGGAAUACCAGUGGCGAAGGCGGCCUUCUGGACUGACACUGACACUGAGGUGCGAAAGCGUGGGUAGCAAACAGGAUUAGAUACCCUAGUAGUC
rnacentral:rRNA from 1 species